rnacentral:rRNA from 1 species
GACGAACGCUGGCGGCGUGCUUAACACAUGCAAGUCGAACGAUGAACCUGGAGCUUGCUCCGGGGGAUUAGUGGCGAACGGGUGAGUAACACGUGAGUAACCUGCCCUUGACUCUGGGAUAACCUCCGGAAACGGAAGCUAAUACCGGAUAUGACGUACGGAGGCAUCUCCUGUACGUGGAAAGAACUUCGGUCAAGGAUGGACUCGCGGCCUAUCAGGUAGUUGGUGAGGUAACGGCNCACCAAGCCUACGACGGGUAGCCGGCCUGAGAGGGUGACCGGCCACACUGGGACUGAGACACGGCCCAGACUCCUACGGGAGGCAGCAGUGGGGAAUAUUGCACAAUGGGCGCAAGCCUGAUGCAGC